AUAUUGUGUUGAAACCGUGAAAAUUGUUCUGCUGAAUGCAGCUCUCUGUGUUGCCAGUGGAAAUGUGACAUCAUCUGUCCAUCAGAGCCCCAAAGCCAUGGGAGACCAACAGAUUA